rnacentral:rRNA from 1 species
UACGUAGGGGGCAAGCGUUGUCCGGAAUCAUUGGGCGUAAAGCGCGUGUAGGCGGUCGUGACAAGUCACUUGUGAAAUCUCCGGGCUUAACUCGGAACGGUCAAGUGAUACUGUCGGACUAGAGUACAGAAGGGGCAACUGGAAUUCUCGGUGUAGCGGUGAAAUGCGUACGAUAUCGAGAGGAACACCUGCGGCGAAGGCGGGUUGCUGGGCUGAUACUGACGCUGAGGCGCGAAAGCCAGGGGAGCGAACGGG